CGCCCAACAGCUAGCUCACCCCAAUAAUAUCAACAAACCACUAUUUAUACACCCAAAAGCACUUUUUAUCCAAAACAAACCAUUUUUCCCCCUGAGUAUGGGCGACAGAAAAGGACCUAUGAAGCAAUAGAGAAAGUACCGCAAGGGAAAGCUGAAAAAGAAAUGAAACAACCCAGUAAAGCAUAAAAAAGCAGAGACUACACCUCGUACCUUUUGCAUCAUGAUUUAGCAAGAUAGCACCUAAGCAAAAAGCAUUAUAGUUUAGUUUCCCGAAACUAAGUGAGCUACUCCGAGGCAGCCUAGCUAAAGGGCAACCCCGUCUCUGUGGCAAAAGAGUGGGAAGAACUCUGAGUAGAGGUGACAGACCUACCGAACUUAGUUAUAGCUGGUUGCCUGAGAAUUGAAUAGAAGUUCAGCCUUUUAAAUUCUUUCCCCACCCCCGGCCCACGCCUACCCCAGGUAACAAGAAGCUUAAAAGAGUUAGUCAAAGGGGGUACAGCCCCUUUGAUAAAAAAUACAAUUUUCCCAGCAGGAUAAAGAUCAUAUUUUAUACAAGGCAUAUGCCCUAGUGGGCCUAAAAGCAGCCACCUAAACAGAAAGCGUUAAAGCUCAAGCAUUAUUGCACUCCCUCUAAUACCGACAAUACCAUCUUAAUCCACUAAUCCUAUCAGGCUAUUCCAUUUAUCUCCAUGGAAGUAAUUAUGCUAAUAUGAGUAAUAAGAGAAGCACCGCUUCUCUCCCCGCACACAUGUACAUCGGAACGAACCCCCACCGAAAAUUAACGACCCCAAAAUCAAGAGGGUACUGGAUAAAAAAUAAAUAACCAGAAAAUCAUCCAACCAACCACCCGUUUACCCCACACUGGUGUGCCCCAUGGGAAAGACUAAAAGAAAAAGAAGGAACUCGGCAAACACGAGCCUCGCCUGUUUACCAAAAACAUCGCCUCUUGAACUAAAAACAUAAGAGGUCCCGCCUGCCCAGUGACUAUAAGUUUAACGGCCGCGGUAUUCUGACCGUGCAAAGGUAGCGCAAUCACUUGUCCUUUAAAUGAGGGCCUGUAUGAAUGGCACCACGAGGGCUCAACUGUCUCCUUUUUCCUGUCAAUGAAAUUGAUCUCCCCGUGCAGAAGCGGGGAUUAUUCCAUAAGACGAGAAGACCCUAUGGAGCUUCAGGCACCAGAACAGACUAUGUUAAACAUCCUGAGCAUAAAAGACAAAACCAAUUAGACCCUGUUCAAAUGCCUUUGGUUGGGGCGACCGCGGGGAAAUAAAAAACCCCCAUGUGGACCAGGAGCACCCUCACUCCCACAACCCAGGGCUACAGCCCUAAGUAACAGAACUUCUGACCAAAAUGAUCCGGUAAAACCGAUCAACGAACCGAGUUACCCUAGGGAUAACAGCGCAAUCCCCUUCUAGAGUCCAUAUCGACAAGGGGGUUUACGACCUCGAUGUUGGAUCAGGACAUCCUACUGGUGCAGCCGCUAUUAAGGGUUCGUUUGUUCAACGAUUAAAGUCCUACGUGAUCUGAGUUCAGACCGGAGUAAUCCAGGUCAGUUUCUAUCUAUGUUAUGAUCUUCUCUAGUACGAAAGGACCGAGAAGAAGGGGCCCCUGUUUAAAACACGCCCCACCCUUACCUAAUGAAACCAACUAAAAUAGGCAAAAGGGCAUAACCCCUAAGCUUGAGAGAACAGCCU
rnacentral:rRNA from 1 species